rnacentral:rRNA from 1 species
UCUGGGAAACUGCCUGAUGGAGGGGGAUAACUACUGGAAACGGUAGCUAAUACCGCAUAACGUCUUCGGACCAAAGUGGGGGACCUUCGGGCCUCACACCAUCGGAUGUGCCCAGAUGGGAUUAGCUAGUAGGUGGGGUAAUGGCUCACCUAGGCGACGAUCCCUAGCUGGUCUGAGAGGAUGACCAGCCACACUGGAACUGAGACACGGUCCAGACUCCUACGGGAGGCAGCAGUGGGGAAUAUUGCACAAUGGGCGCAAGCCUGAUGCAGCCAUGCCGCGUGUAUGAAGAAGGCCUUCGGGUUGUAAAGUACUUUCAGCGGGGAGGAAGGCGAUAAGGUUAAUAACCUUGUCGAUUGACGUUACCCGCAGAAGAAGCACCGGCUAACUCCGUGCCAGCAGCCGCGGUAAUACGGAGGGUGCAAGCGUUUAUCGGAAUUACUGGGCGUAAAGCGCACGCAGGCGGUCUGUCAAGUCAGAUGUGAAAUCCCCGGGCUUAACCUGGGAACUGCAUUUGAAACUGGCAGGCUAGAGUCUUGUAGAGGGGGGUAGAAUUCCAGGUGUAGCGGUGAAAUGCGUAGAGAUCUGGAGGAAUACCGGUGGCGAAGGCGGCCCCCUGGACAAAGACUGACGCUCAGGUGCGAAAGCGUGGGGAGCAAACAGGAUUAGAUACCCUGGUAGUCCACGCCGUAAACGAUGUCGACUUGGAGGU